rnacentral:rRNA from 1 species
GGUCCUAAGGAUUGUAAACUUCUUUAGUAGGUGAGUAGAGACAGGUACGUGUACCUGUAGGCAAGUAACCUAAGAAUAAGUAUCGGCUAACUCCGUGCCAGCAGCCGCGGUAAUACGGAGGAUACGAGCGUUAUCCGGAUUUAUUGGGUUUAAAGGGUGCGUAGGUGGUAUUGUAAGUCAGGGGUGAAAAGCUAUAGCUCAACUAUAGUCUUGCCUUUGAAACUGUGAUACUUGAGUGUAGAUGCUGUGGGCGGAAUGCGUAGUGUAGCGGUGAAAUGCAUAGAUAUUACGCAGAACUCCGAUUGCGAAGGCAGCUCACAAAGUUACAACUGACACUGAUGCACGAAAGCGUGGGGAUCAAACAGGAUUAGAUACCCUGGUAGUCCACGCCGUAAACUAUGAUUACUCGGAGUAUGCGAUACAAUGUAUGCUCUCAAGCGAAAGCGUUAAGUAAUCCACCUGGGGAGUACGUCGGCAACGAUGAAACUCAAAGGAAUUGACGGGGGCCCGCACAAGCGGAGGAACAUGUGGUUUAAUUCGAUGAUACGCGAGGAACCUUACCCGGGAUUGAAAUGUAUACGCCGGACUUAUGAAAGUAGGUCUGUUCACUUCGGUGACGUAUAUGUAGGUGCUGCAUGGUUGUCGUCAGCUCGUGCCGUGAGGUGUCGGCUUAAGUGCCAUAACGAGCGCAACCCUCAUUGUUAGUUACCAACAGGUAGUGCUGGGGACUCUAACGAGACUGCCGUCGUAAGGCGAGAGGAAGGUGGGGAUGACGUCAAAUCAGCACGGCCCUUACAUCCGGGGCGACACACGUGUUACAAUGGUGAGGACAGAGGGCAGCUCUCAGGCGACUGACUGCGAAUCUCCAAACCUCAUCUCAGUCCGGAUCGGAGUCUGCAACUCGACUUCGUGAAGCUGGAUUCGCUAGUAAUCGCGCAUCAGCCAUGGCGCGGUGAAUACGUUCCCGGGCCUUGUACACACCGCCCGUCAAGCCAUGGAAGUCGGGGGUACCUGAAGUGCGUGACCGCGAGGAGCGUCCGAGGGUAAACCUGGUGACUGGGGCUAAGUCGUAACAAGGUAGCCGUACCGGAAGGUGCGGCUG